GACAAGUGUUUAGUGAAGGUAAUCACCUUUGCCGAGAGCUCCUCUCGGCAAACCUUUUUAAUUUGAUUUUUUCAUAUUUUAAAACAAAUGCCGAGAGUUCUUUGCCGAGAGUACAGCUCUCGGCAAAGGCGUUUGCCGAGCGCUCUGCCUGCCUGGCUCUCGGCAAAUAGCAGGCCUUUGCCGAGCGCUGGCCUGUCCUGGCUCUCGGCAAACAUCCAGAGAGGUUUUUGUUAUUUUUAUUUUUUUGUUUCCAGCUCUUAUUCACAGAUAUAUAUAACAGAUAUUCACAGAUAUAUAUAACAGAUAUACAGAUAACACACAUAUAUAUAUAUAUAACAUGUCUCAUAAACAUCCAUCAUUCACAAGUUCACAAACAUCCAUCAUUCACAAGUUCACAAACAUCUCACACACAUCCAUCAAACAUUCAUCACAAUCAUCCAUCAACAAUAAAUGUCUCAGUGCUGCCAAGUGUCCCACCCCGACCCUCCUGGAGGCUGCUGCGACGGCGGCGGACGUGGUGCAUACCAGGAUCCACCUGACGGCGGCUGAAGCGGCGGAAGUGACGCUCCUAAGGGCGGCACCUCAUUCGAACCCGCCGAUUGAACCUGCACAAAUGAGAAUAAACAUUGUUAUG
rnacentral:lncRNA from 1 species